rnacentral:rRNA from 1 species
AGUGAACGCUGGCGGUAGGCCUAACACAUGCAAGUCGAACGGCAGCACAGUAAGAUCUUGCUCUUACGGGUGGCGAGUGGCGGACGGGUGAGGAAUACAUCGGAAUCUACUUUUUCGUGGGGGAUAACGUAGGGACACUUACGCUAAUACCGCAUACGACCUACGGGUGAAAGCAGGGGAUCUUCGGAGCUUUCGCGAUUGAAUGAGCCGAUGUCGGAUUAGCUAGUUGGCGGGGUAAAGGCCCACCAAGGCGACGAUCCGUAGCUGGUCUGAGAGGAUGAUCAGCCACACUGGAACUGAGACACGGUCCAGACUCCUACGGGAGGCAGCAGUGGGGAAUAUUGGACAAUGGGCGCAAGCCUGAUCCAGCCAUACCGCGUGGGUGAAGAAGGCCUUCGGGUUGUAAAGCCCUUUUGUUGGGAAAGAACAGCAGCAGGUUAAUACCCCGCUGUUCUGACGGUACCCAAAGAAUAAGCACCGGCUAACUACGUG